AUGCAAGUCGAACGGUAACAGGAAGCAGCUUGCUGCUUUGCUGACGAGUGGCGGACGGGUGAGUAAUGUCUGGGAAACUGCCUGAUGGAGGGGGAUAACUACUGGAAACGGUAGCUAAUACCGCAUAACGUCGCAAGACCAAAGAGGGGGACCUUCGGGCCUCUUGCCAUCGGAUGUGCCCAGAUGGGAUUAGCUAGUAGGUGGGGUAACGGCUCACCUAGGCGACGAUCCCUAGCUGGUCUGAGAGGAUGACCAGCCACACUGGAACUGAGACACGGUCCAGACUCCUACGGGAGGCAGCAGUGGGGAAUAUUGCACAAUGGGCGCAAGCCUGAUGCAGCCAUGCCGCGUGUAUGAAGAAGGCCUUCGGGUUGUAAAGUACUUUCAGCGAGGAGGAAGGUGUUGAGGUUAACAACCUCAGCAAUUGACGUUACCCGCAGAAGAAGCACCGGCUAACUCCGUGCCAGCAGCCGCGGUAAUACGGAGGGUGCAAGCGUUAAUCGGAAUUACUGGGCGUAAAGCGCACGCAGGCGGUCUGUCAAGUCGGAUGUGAAAUCCCCGGGCUCAACCUGGGAACUGCAUUCGAAACUGGCAGGCUAGAGUCUUGUAGAGGGGGGUAGGAUUCCAGGUGUAGCGGUGAAAUGCGUAGAGAUCUGGAGGAAUACCGGUGGCGAAGGCGGCCCCCUGGACAAAGACUGACGCUCAG
rnacentral:rRNA from 1 species